rnacentral:rRNA from 1 species
CCUACGGGUGGCAGCAGUGAGGAAUAUUGGUCAAUGGGCGAGCGCCUGAACCAGCCAAGUCGCGUGAAGGAUGACUGCCCUACGGGUUGUAAACUUCUUUUGUCAGGGAGCAAUUGAGUCCACGUGUGGUCUUAGCGAGAGUACCUGAAGAAAAAGCAUCGGCUAACUCCGUGCCAGCAGCCGCGGUAAUACGGAGGAUGCGAGCGUUAUCCGGAUUGAUUGGGUUUAAAGGGUGCGUAGGCGGAAUAUCAAGUCAGCGGUAAAAAUUCGGGGCUCAAACCCGUCCCGCCGUUGAAACUGACGUUCGUGAGUGGGCGAGAAGUAUGCGGAAUGCGUGGUGUAGCGGUGAAAUGCAUAGAUAUCACGCAGAACUCCGAUUGCGAAGGCAGCAUACCGGCGCCCAACUGACGCUGAAGCACGAAAGCGUGGGUAUCGAACAGGAUUAGAUACCCCGGUAGUC